rnacentral:lncRNA from 1 species
UUCGAAUAGAGCGCCUUGAUCGAAGAGAAGAACUGUAAAUGGAGUUGGGUCUUGAAGGGUACCGAGUUUCAUCAUCAGAAUCAUCCAUAUUUAUGAAAAUAGGAAUAUCGAUAUCAGUAUACAGGUGAAAUUCGACUCCAAUUGCACUGAGAAAGGCAAGCAAAUGGUGGGACCAUAUUUACGAAAAUAGGAGUAUCGAUAUCAAUAUACAGCAGUGAGAAAGGCAAGCAAAUGGUGGGUUUUCAAAAAGACCCUUAGCGCUAGGGGUCUUAGGGUUUCUAAUGAAACAUGAAGAAUGAGAAUCGAGGGGUUUCAGAUUCGGAAUAUGAGUGCAUUUUGGUGUCAAGAGGAAGGGGUAUGAUAAGACCAAUGUACGUGGGUUCUCUUUUUGCUUGGAUUUUUGGAAUGGUGUUAAACCGGUGUGCCGGGCCAGGUUGGAAAAAAAUGAAACCGGCUGAUUUUCAAUCUGCCUCUUUACCGGACUUAGUUCAUCCGCAUACAAAAU